rnacentral:tRNA from 1 species
GCCGAUGUGGUGGAAUUGGUAGACACGCUAUCUUGAGGGGGUAGUGUCUUAGGACGUGCCGGUUCGAGUCCGGCCAUCGGCACCA